rnacentral:rRNA from 1 species
CCUACGGGUGGCAGCAGUGGGGAAUAUUGCGCAAUGGGCGAAAGCCUGACGCAGCGACGCCGCGUGAGGGAUGAAGGUCUUCGGAUCGUAAACCUCUGUCAGCAGGGAAGAACGGUCACUGUGCUAAUCAGCAGUGAAUUGACGGUACCUGCAAAGGAAGCACCGGCUAACUCCGUGCCAGCAGCCGCGGUAAUACGGAGGGUGCGAGCGUUAAUCGGAAUUACUGGGCGUAAAGCGCUCGUAGGCGGUAUGUCAAGUCAAGGGUGAAAUCCCCGCGCUCAACGUGGGAACUGCAUUUGAAACUGGCAAACUGGAGUGUGUGAGAGGAUAGUGGAAUUCCAGGUGUAGGAGUGAAAGCCGUAGAUAUCUGGAGGAACAUCAGGGGCGAAGGCGACUAUCUGGCACAUAACUGACGCUGAGGAGCGAAAGCGUGGGUAGCAAACAGGAUUAGAUACCCUAGUAGUC